rnacentral:lncRNA from 1 species
AACCCCCGCCUAGCCCCUUCACAGCAAAUGCGCUUUUUGCCCUGAAGUUGUGUGAGACCGACCUUAAACUUUCUCCGACCCUAUCUCGGGAUGCUACGGCUCAGGUCGUGGUGGUUUCGGGAACCUCAAGACAACAUUCCCCAGCUGACCUUUGGGAACUUUAACUCGGGUCGUCAUGUACGGAAAGGUAGUCUAUGGGGUACGCAGAAUGGAAAAGGGCUUCCACAUCAGUCGUGUCCGAGGACGCUCUCCAACUUUUGAUGUCCCUGGAGAGUUUCUGAUAUUUCCCUGGAGAGUUUCAGGUAAGUCACAGAUAAGUCACUGCGAAGAGGGGGUGUCACCUUCCCUGGACCCAGCGCUAAAUGCUGCUUCCCCACCCCCACGUUCAUAUACACACCCCCUCUUCGCUCCCUCCAAACAGUUAUCACAACUCUGUACAAACUGAUACGGUCCCUAGCGGGCAAAAGGGACUGGAAAUGAACGUCGCGGGGUUAUCAGCGCCGAUCUGUCAGCGGCAACUCGCGCGGCCGCAGGCUCGUCCGCUGCAGGAGCCGUGAUAUAUGUCUCGCUCCCUUUCGCUUACAGAAAGGAUUUCUUCCGACAGACGUGACCCCAGAAGGCUGCCGAGGGAGACUUUAGGACAAGAGGCGUUGUUUUUUUAGGGAAGGAAGAGGAGCCUGUGCAGAGUUGAACUGGGGUGGAGAGGUGCCUUGUAAAGUAUGGUUUCCAGAGAUGGUGAGACCUCGUAGCUAAGCGUUGUUUCCUCUGCACGUAACUGUGAGUUGUGAACUUGUGGCUCCUGGGGGAGCGGGACAGGGCCUGGCAGUGCGGGGGAGGGGGCAAGGAAUUCAGGAAGUUGGCGAGAAUUCUUCGUUUUUCAUUCUUCGUUGUAAAUUGCUUCUAAACACUUCUGAAUUUUAAAUUGCUACCGAGAAGGUCCAGAAACCGUUCUCAUCCAAUUUAGUCACUUUUAUUACGUUCCACUUUGCCUCCCCCAAUCACUGCGGCGGCUCCCAGUUUCAGCGUGGCCGCAUUUGGAAAAGGCUGAAGGUAGAAAACUCUGGAAUGGAGAGGCUGGCGACUGGAGCAGGAUCCAGGGGCUUUAAAUUUUAACCUGAAUGCGAUCGAAUGCGCGACUCCCAGAAGAGAUAGCCAGGCGUCCGCCCGGCCGCUCAACCCCCGCCAGGACUCGGAAUGCCUUGCUUUUGGUUCUUUUCUACAAGGAUGUCUGCGUGGAUAUCCCUGGACACUCGAUACCCCCCGGGGACCUGCUUUUCCCGCAGCUCCGCAGACGCGGCGGGAGGGCGCGCUGGCCCCGGCGCUGCUGGGACAGAGGUGAGCAGCGGGGUGGACAUUGACCGAUUCGACAACGUUCGGGCUCUAAGGGCUCGGGAAGGGACCCGGCAUUUUACCCUCCAGAUUCCCAAUCUAUUUUUAAAAAUAAUGUUCAAAACAUAUGGGAAAAAUAAGUGAUUGCUCCUUUUCAUGGUCACAGAUUGUAUUUAUUUUUUCAGACUGGUUUUCCAACCUAACGAGGGAAUGGGUAGUGAAUGUUGUUGUUGUUGUUGUUGUUUAUGUUGGUUAAUUUCGAAAUAAAACUGUUUAACUCGUACAGUUGAUUCAGACAG